AGCCGCUUACAGAAACGCAUAUAUAAACACACACAACCCAUUGAUUCUAAAUCCCCAUCGCAUACCAGAUUCCAGGUAUUAAUAGGGAAAGGGAUGGAAGUGAUGAUUAUUUCCCCAGAUGAUCGAAUUUGAUUAUACUGUGCGCUAUUUAAACAUUCUCUUUUUUAGAGAAUCCAAGCCAGAAAUCUGAUCCAUUUAUUUUCAUAUUUGUCUAGUUAGUUUGUAUCUUAUACGAAAAUUCGUUUUUAACGUAUAAGAAUGAAAUCGAAAGUAUUUGUGGACAACAAGUAUUAGAUUAAUGGUGAAUUAAUCCUGAUUUGUAAUUGUUGUUAAUUUUUGUGAUGUUUUGAUUCAAAGGUAUUGUGGAUCCUCUUGAAUAAAGAGGUGAGAAUGAUGAGCUGAUUAUUGGUGUCUGCAACAAGAUUGAAAUCGAUUUCGCCUAUUGCAGUUAUUAUGUGGACAUAAAAGUCGCAACGUAGCAGUCAAUGAUUAAUGACUUCAGUGGUGAAUCUUCAUCCCAUGAAAAGACUAUUUAAGAACAAGAACAAACAUGAAGUAGUUUAGGCCUCACAAUGAUAAUGAUAAUGGACUUGAUGGGUUAAACAAGCAUGGUGCUUCGUGGAUUGACAUCAACCAGACUCAAACUUAUUAACCUUGUAAGAACUGAUGAUUCCUAAUCAUAAACAGUUAUAUAA